UACGUAGGGGGCAAGCGUUGUCCGGAUUUAUUGGGCGUAAAGAGCGUGUAGGCGGCCUGACAGGUCUGCUGUGAAAACUCGAGGCUUAACCUCGAGAUGUCGGCGGAAACCGUCUGGCUAGAGUCCGGAAGAGGAGAGUGGAAUUCCUGGUGUAGCGGUGAAAUGCGCAGAUAUCAGGAAGAACACCUAUGGCGAAGGCAGCUCUCUGGGACGGUACUGACGCUGAGACGCGAAAGCGUGGGGAGCGAACAGG
rnacentral:rRNA from 1 species